GGAAGCAUGAUACCGAAGGCUUGUCACUCCCGUCCUUACUUCCACACAGACAAGCAUGUUUGCUCAUUGUUUGCUCUGCUCCUUUUUUUUUUUCCUUUCCAGGUUGCUAUUUCUGCAGAUGUCAAAGAAGUUCUGCUAACUGAUGGGAAUGAAAAGGCCAUCAGAAGUAUCCUUAUUCAGAUAGAAAGCCGGUUCGUUGUUCUCCCCCACCCCACCCCACCCCUGCCCCCAGGCUGAGUAACAGUCGACAUAAAAGACAGACAGCACGGGGUAUUAAAAAAGAGCUCCUCAUACACAUGAUCAGUAAUUAAGAGAAACGAGCAAUGUAUGAAUUCCCUGCGGAUGACUGUGUGUGUCUUCCUUUUCAUAGGGUUUUUCCAGACACUCCUUGCUGAAGGAGUCUGUGUUUUGCAUGUCUCUCGAGGCGGAUUCGAAAUCUUCAUAAUUUCAAAACAUUCUCGUUCUUUUAUUCUCAUUAAGGUCCUCUAGCACCAAGCCGAUU
rnacentral:lncRNA from 1 species